rnacentral:rRNA from 1 species
CACCUCUAGCAUAACUAGUAUUAGAGGCACCGCCUGCCCAGUGACGCAAGUUAAACGGCCGCGGUAUCCUGACCGUGCAAAGGUAGCAUAAUCAUUUGUUCCUUAAUUAGGGACUUGUAUGAAUGGCAUGACGAGGGUUUAACUGUCUCUUACAUUCAAUCAAUGAAAUUGACCUUUCCGUGAAGAGGCGGAAAUAGCAUAAUAAGACGAGAAGACCCUAUGGAGCUUAAAUUAAAAAUUCCAACUUAAUUAACUCAAAAUCUACUAGAUCUAAAAUCAUUAAUCACUGGAAUUAAAAUUUUGGUUGGGGUGACCUCGGAGCACAAAAAAACCUCCGAAGGACAAACAUCAAGACCAACAAGUCUAAAUUAUUAAGUCCAAAUAUUGACCCAGAACUCUAAUUCUGAUCAAUGAACCAAGUUACCCUAGGGAUAACAGCGCAAUCCUGUUAGAGAGUCCAUAUCGGCAACAGGGUUUACGACCUCGAUGUUGGAUCAGGACAUCCCAAUGGUGCAGCAGCUAUUAAAGGUUCGUUUGUUCAACGAUUAAAGUCCU